rnacentral:rRNA from 1 species
CAGCCGCCGCGGGAAUACGAAGGGGGCUAGCGUUGCUCGGAAUGACUGGGCGUAAAGGGCGCGUAGGCGGUUUUGACAGUCAGAUGUGAAAUUCCUGGGCUUAACCUGGGGGCUGCAUUUGAGACGUCAAGACUAGAGUGUGAUAGAGGGUUUUGGAAUUCCCAGUGUAGAGGUGAAAUUCGUAGAUAUUGGGAAGAACACCGGUGGCGAAGGCGGCAACCUGGCUCAUUACUGACGCUGAGGCGCGAAAGCGUGGGGAGCAAACAGGAUUAGAUACCCCGGUAGUCCCUGUCUCUUAUAC